GCCCGGUUAGCUCAAUCGGUAGAGCGUGAGACUCUUAAUCUCAAGGUUGCGGGUAAGCUAAGAAUUUACACUUGAAUAAUCAAAUCACGUGCUAAUCACGUGAUUUCCAGGUUCGAGACCCACAUCGGGCU